GCGGAUUUAGCUCAUUUGGUAGAGCGCAACCUUGCCAAGGUUGAGGUGGCGAGUUCGAGCCUCGUAAUCCGCUCCA
rnacentral:tRNA from 1 species